UGGUCNCUAGNCCUUGNAAUCAAUUUUUACUUUAGUUAUACAUGCAAGUCUCCGCAUCCCUGUGAAAACGCCCUUAAANCUCCUAAUAGGAACAAGGAGCUGGUAUCAGGCACAAUUAUUAGCCCAAGACACCUAGCCAAGCCACACCCACAAGGGACCUCAGCAGUAAUUAACAUUGAAUAUAAGCGACAGCUUGAUUCAGUAAAAGUAAACAGGGCAGGCAAAUAUGGUGCCAGCCGCCGCGGUUAUACCAUGUGGCCCAAAUUGAUUUCUUUNCGGCGUAAAGAGUGAUUAAAGUNACCACUANUACUGUAGUUAAACUACNUAUAAAGUUGUAAUAAGCUUAUACUUAGGAAUAUCAUNAAACGAAAGUUACUACANNNCCCAAAACAACUUGAACUCACGAUAACUGAGGCACAAACUAGGAUUAGAGACCCUACUAUGCUCAGCCACAAACUCUUAAUUACANNNNNNNNCCUCAAACGCCAGGGAACUACGAGCNAAAGCUUAAAACCCAAAGGACUUGACGGUACCCCAUAUCCCCCUAGAGGAGCCUGUCCUAUAAUUGAUACCCCCCGUUUAACCUCACCAUUUUUAGCCUAAUCAGUCUGUAUACCUCCGUCGUCAGCUUACCACAUGAGUGACCUUAUAGUAAGUUUAAUGUCUUNNNAUAUCGUCAAUACGUCAGGUCAAGGUGCAACUAAUAAAAUGGGAAGAGAUGGGCUACACUCUCUAACUUAGAACAUACGGAUAAUUANUUAUGAAANGCUAAUUUUAAGGUGGAUUUAGUAGUAAAAAAAGACUAGAGAGCUUUUUUUANAACAGGCCCUGGGNGUGUGUACACACCGCCCGUCACCCUCUUCGNCAGCCUNNUANUUACAGUUAUUAACAAAACUCNNGCAAAGUAGAAGAGGUANAGUCGUAACAUGGUAAGUAUACCGGAAGGNGUGCUU
rnacentral:ncRNA from 1 species